AUGAAUCAUGUUCUUAAGCUCGAUUUCGAGAAAGCAUAUGACAAGGUGAAUUGGGAUUUUCUGUUGGAAUGUCUAGAGAUGAGAGGGUUCGGUACCACUUGGUGUAAGUGGAUCAAAAGUGUCCUGACUGGUGGCACUGUCAGUGUUAAGUUGAAUAAUGUCAUGGGACCUUAUUUCAAAAGCUUUAAGGGGGUCAGACAAGGAGAUCAUGUGUCACCAUUCCUAUUCAACAUAGCGGUCGAGUGCUUGUCUGAGAUGGUG
rnacentral:rRNA from 1 species